UACCUACUUCCCUUCUUUGGAACAGAUACCCCAUCUUUCGACUUUUCACCUUUGGUGUCAGAUUUC